ACAUAUUUUAAUUUUUAAUCAUUUUAUUAAAUUAAAUAAAAUUACAUUUAAAUCCACCUUCAAUUAAAUAUUACAAAAUAAAAUUCAUUUAAAUAAAUUUAUUGUAAUCCAUUAUAUUCUUAAUUAUAAUCUGCAUCUUGAUCUGAUUUAAUUUUUCAUAUUAAUUUUUAAACAUUAAUUUUAUUAAAAAAUAUUUUUAUAACAACGAUAUACAAAAUUAUAAAAUAAGUAAAUU
rnacentral:rRNA from 1 species